rnacentral:rRNA from 1 species
UACGUAGGGUGCGAGCGUUGUCCGGAAUUACUGGGCGUAAAGAGCGUGUAGGCGGUUUGGUAGGUCCGCUGUGAAAACUCGAGGCUCAACCUCGAGACGCCGGUGGAAACCAUCAGACUAGAGUCCGGAAGAGGAGAGUGGAAUUCCUGGUGUAGCGGUGAAAUGCGCAGAUAUCAGGAAGAACACCCGUGGCUAAGGCGGCUCUCUAGUACGGUACUGACGCUGAGACGCGAAAGCGUGGGGAGCGAACAGG